AGUUGGGGCACUUGGAAAAGAAUGUGGCAAAGAAAAAAAAAGUAGACCUCCAGGGAUCUGAAGGGAGGUAACAGAAAAACUAGAAGCUACAGAGAAGUUGGAAAACUGAGCACAAAUUGGAGAAAUGAACAAAGCAUUCUGGAAUGCUAACCCCAGCUCCCAGGGAAAGGAAUCUGUCUGCAUUAACACAAGAUUUAUCCAGGCUAGGACUGGAGAUUUGGCCAGCUACGUCAAUACCGAGGGCACACGUGAGCCAUCAUGGUCCACGAUCAAGCACCUACCCAAUGACUGUAAGGAGAUCUGGAGUCCUGAGCAGAGUCGGCUUCACCCAGAGCACAUGGCCCAAGGUUAGGGGAAGAGAAAUUUCCCUGGAGUAGCUGCUGAGCAGAGAAAAAGAACUGAAACAUGGAAAUCUCUGCAACUUUGGUCAACAACCCACAGAGCUGUGCUUUGGGAAAACUCUGUGUUUCAGGUAGAAAAAAAUUAUUCUUCAAUAUUCCUGAGGAUGAGAUUGGAUAAAAGACACAAAUGAAGUCCAGACCAAGUACAAAAACACGGGCUCCUUCUUCUGGCUGUUCAACUAAUGCAGACUUCGCCUGAGGAUGAGAUAACUAUCUCCACAGCCAGUCCCUCGCCUAGACUUCAAAUUACAGUAAUUAUGACAAUUUGUGCCAAUAGCCACGAGGUGGGAUUUUUGAUGUGGUUAAAAAUAACAUCUGUAA